rnacentral:tRNA from 2 species
GCCCCCAUAGCCCAACGGCAGAGGCAUCGGACUUAAAAUCCGCUCAGUCCGGGUUCGAAUCCCGGUGGGGGCACCA